rnacentral:rRNA from 1 species
GAUGAACGCUGGUGGCGUGCCUAAUACAUGCAAGUCGAGCGGACAGACGAGGAGCUUGCUCCUCUGACGUUAGCGGCGGACGGGUGAGUAACACGUGGAUAAUCUACCUAUAAGACUGAGAUAACUUCGGGAAACCGGAGAUAAUACCGGAUAAUAUCUUGAACCACAUGGUUCAAUGGUGAAAGACGGUGUUGCGGUCACUAAUCGAUGGAUCCCGGCCGUUUUAGGUAGUUGGUAAGGUAAAGGCUUACCACGGCAACGAUGCGUAGCCGACCUGAGAGGGUGAUCGGCCACACUGGAACUGAGACACGGUCCAGAGUCCUACGGGAGGCAGCAGUAGGGAAUCUUCCGCAAUGGGCGAAAGCCUGACGGAGCAACGGCGCGUGUGUUAUGAAGGUCUUCGGAUCGUAAAACUCUGUUAUUAGGGAUAAACAACUGUGUAAGUAACUAUGCACGUCUUGACGGUACCUAAUCAGAAAGCCACGGCUAACUACGUG